rnacentral:rRNA from 1 species
GACGAACGCUGGCGGCGUGCCUAAUACAUGCGAGUAGAACGCUGAAGGAGGAGCUUGCUUCUCUGGAUGAGUUGCGAACGGGUGAGUAACGCGUAGGUAACCUGCCUGAUAGCGGGGGAUAACUAUUGGAAACGAUAGCUAAUACCGCAUAAGAGUAGAUGUCGCAUGACAUUUGCUUAAAAGGUGCAAUUGCAUCACUACCAGAUGGACCUGCGUUGUAUUAGCUAGUUGGUGAGGUAACGGCUCACCAAGGCAACGAUACAUAGCCGACCUGGGAGGGUGAUCGGCCACACUGGGACUGAGACACGGCCCAGACUCCUACGGGAGGCAGCAGUAGGGAAUCUUCGGCAAUGGACGGAAGUCUGACCGAGCAACGCCGCGUGAGUGAAGAAGGGUUUCGGAUCGUAAAGCUCUGUUGUAAGAGAAGAACGAGUGUGAGAGUGGAAAGUUCACACUGUGACGGUAUCUUACCAGAAAGGGACGGCUAACUACGUG